AGAAGAAGAAGAAGAAGAAGAAGAAAACUUCAAAAUGAAACCUCAACGUUGAUGGUGUCCUUGAUUUACUUCAAAUAGUAAGGAAAGGAAGACUUGAUAAAGAUGUGGGUCUGUUUGGUGCCGAGGACACCCGAGAAGCUCCUUUACUUCUAUUGAUUCAUAAAUUUACUCCAGAGCUCCAACCUUUGCUUAGCAUGCAAAUUUGGUGCUGCUACUUAAAUCAACAAUCUUUAGUUGAAGAAAAGACAGCUUAAUUACCCUCCCUCUCUCUCCCUCCCUCCCCCCUCUCUCAUGCGUUGACCAUCUAUUAUUGACACUAUAGCAAAAAUGGAGUGGUUUUGAGUGCUGAACCUAAACCCAUUAACUUUGGAGUGAGCCACCGAAUCAACCAAGAACUUUCAGGUCACCAAAACUGUCGAAGUCCACAUUAAGGGGCCCACUGCAACUGUUUAUCCAGAGAGAUAGGCUGGUAUAAAAAAGGACGCACACAACCCUCUCAAGAAUCUGUUCCAUGAAAGAAAAGAUAACAGUAUGUCCAAAGUCUGGAAUCCCAAAAUUUUCCUUCAUUUUCUCAAGAACCAAACGUCAUUUUUAGCCGAACAACCUGUCUAUGUCUCCCCUCUCUGGUUUUUCUCUGUUGGAGUUGUUUCUACUUUGCAGUCUAGAGAUCUGGGGCCUGAGAUUUCUCCAUAUGCUUCGGACCGCCCCCUAACAAUAAAUGCAUACAAAGUCAUAAACAAGGGUGAUAGGUGUUUGGAGGUUACAGCAGUGGUAGACUUUGACUCAAAUUUUUCAUCCUAGAGUAUUUGCAACUGACUUUGGCAUGGGAGAAAGAACAAAGCAAUGGACAGACAAGAGGUCCCCCUUCCUCAGCUAUAUACAAACAUCAUGCUUACGUUAAUUAGAUACAAGUAUUAUCUACCCUAUAAAGCACUGCUUCUGAGAACCAGCAAGAGAAUCAGGGAAAACAGGGCAUGAAAAGUACACUUGAAUCCGAAUUUCAGACUGAGUUAACCUCGCAACUUCCUUCAGUAGACAUAAUUUCAAGUUCUGCCCACCAGAGGGGUGAUAAUUUUGGUGUUGCUCCAUCAGGUCCCACUGAUGUGAUCUCUUUUAACUUGG